GACGAACGCUGGCGGCGUGCCUAACACAUGCAAGUCGAGCGGGGUUGAAGCGAGAGGUAACUCGAACUUCUACCUAGCGGCGGACGGGUGAGUAACGCGUGGGCAACCUGCCUCAAGGUCUGGGAUAACAGCCCGAAAGGGCUGCUAAUACUGGGUAUGCUUGUGGCCUCGCAUGGGGCUAUGAGCAAAGGGGAAACCCGCCUUGAGAUGGGCCCGCGUCCCAUCAGCUAGUUGGUGAGGUAACAGCUCACCAAGGCGACGACGGGUAGCCGGCCUGAGAGGGUGACCGGCCACACUGGGACUGAGACACGGCCCAGACUCCUACGGGGGGCAGCAGUGGGGGAUCUUGCACAAUGGGCGAAAGCCUGAUGCAGCGACGCCGCGUGAGCGAAGAAGGCCUUCGGGUUGUAAAGCUCUGUCUGGAGGGACGAAGGAAGUGACGGUACCUCCGGAGGAAGCCACGGCUAACUACGUGCCAGCAGCCGCGGUAAGAGUGUGU
rnacentral:rRNA from 1 species